rnacentral:rRNA from 1 species
UACGAAGGGGGCAAGCGUUGUUCGGAUUCACUGGGCGUAAAGGGUGCGUAGGUGGUGAGGUAAGUCGGAUGUGAAAGCUCCGAGCUCAACUCGGAAAUGGCAUUGGAAACUACCUUGCUCGAGGGUUUGAGGGGGGACUGGAAUACUUGGUGUAGCAGUGAAAUGCGUAGAUAUCAAGUAGAACACCAGUGGCGAAGGCGAGUCCCUGGAAAACUCCUGACACUGAGGCACGAAAGCUAGGGGAGCAAACAGG